CAUGGUUGAUGCAAUAUAUAUAUAUAUGAAAUAUAUUUUAUAUAUUUAUAUAAAUGUAUGUAAUAUAUAUAUAUAAAUAUAUUAGAGUGGUUCCUUUAUGGAAGGCAACUAGAAGCAAGAACUUGGUCGACUUCAUCCUAACAUGAGAGUCCUUGUCUAAUUAAGUAGAACAAUUUGGCAGGAGGGAACAACCGUGAGGUCAAGAAUCCUACUACACUGGAGCGGUGGGGGGGGAUCUCCUGCUGCUGUACCUUAUGGUGGUACCCGGGAAAAGAGGUGACAUAUGGGAAAGCCCUUUGUCACGAGGGCUGACGUUCACCAGCCACUUACCGUGCGCAGACCCUGUGGCAGGCAAGUUACAGUCAUCUCGCUUCAUCCUCAACUACUACCCCGCCAAGGGAAGUAGGAGUAGGAGUAUGCCCCCGUGACAGGUGAGGGAACGGCCACGUGAAAUUUCAAUGACUUGUCCAAGGUCACGCUGUUCAGUUGCGGUGACAGAUUUUGGAUGUCGGUCAACAGCCAGUGUUGCAGUCCUCACCCUGUUGAGUGUCGGGGGUAGAGCAGAGAUCCUGAAUUAUGCCCUCUAAGUAGCCAAGUGAGAACAGAAAACCCAAGCAGCUUCCAGUUAUACACGUGAACUGCUUCACCCCCACGUAACACAACGGUCAUGAUAACACUGAACAUCCCAUAUUCGUUUUAUGAGAAGUUUUAUUUAAUAGCGACAGCUACUACGUGCCCGGGCUUCACAGCCUGUUGCUCUCACUGUAGAGACAUCUGCUAACAAAUUUUAGAACCUGGAGAAGACCGUCCAUAGGUGAGUGAUUAUGGCCUUCCUGACUUUCAGCCUCGGAUUGAAGGAGUCUUUCUCAACCGAAGUCGACGGCUCUGAUCGGAGCACAAGUGAUGCCUGUCACUGUCGCUGGGAGGCUGAGGUCUUCUGCAUCCAGCUGAAUGUCUCCUGUGAUGUGGGGCUGAGUUUUUCCAAGUCCUGCCUCCCAUCCUAGGCAGCCAUGCUGCUGAGGCUCAGGCCCUGUAAUCAGCACACAGCCACCACCUUUGCAUUUUCCUUCAUCAGACAUAGAGGAUCUUGGAGGUAUCCGGUUAGGAACUUCUUGAACAUGCUUUAGCAAUCACACAGCUUACCCCUGAUCCCAGUGACAUGGAACUUCAUGUGAUUUUAUACUGUUGUCCUCACAUUGUGCCCAAAUCUGCCCAAUGUUGUCUUCUCCAGGAAUUCAGCUGUGUCCACUGGAGCCCCCAAGAUAAUCUUGCCAGGCGGCCCUGCAGGCACUUUCUGAAGUGCUUGUGCCCCCAGAUGCCCACUGCCCAUCAGUCUUCUUCAACCCCUUUCCAUCCCAUUGCUUCCCCACAGAUGGCAGGUUCUGGGACAUGGGCCCAAAUACUCAGAAAAAGUGGCAUCUGUGUCUGUUGGGCCCCUCCUCCUCCGUGCCAGCAUGCUGCCCUUCUGCUCUCUUGAGUCAAGGAAUCUAGUAACCACGGCGUCAUGUGGGGUUUCCCAGCAUGGCAUUCCCACCACUGGAUGCCGACUCACCAUGGGCUGCUUCUCAGGCUUCAUCACCAUGCUUAGAGUGAGGAAAGCCAAUCUGGAUGCUCUUGGGUCUCAGCAAAGCCACUGCGUCGUCGAGGGCUUAGCUCUCCAGGGACAGGAAAGGGAGGAGGUAGCUUCCUUUCCCUGACUCGCUUCCCAGCAUGGCCCCGUGGAGUCGCUUCAGUGCCAGAGCAGUCUGGCUCUGCCUACUAGGAUGAGGAUUCGCUGCCCACUGGACCUCUUGUUUGGCUUUCCACUGUCUUGUGUAAUUUAGAGGGACUCUAAAAAAGCAUCCUAGCUCCGGAGAGGGGUUGAUGGGCCAAAUUGUUUGACCUUGCCCACAUCCCUGCGAUCACUUUAACAUCUACCAGGCUUAGUAGCAGCAGUCUCAGUUGGGUCCGGUGCUUUUGAGUUUGUGCCGUGGUGUCUGUCUAUGCAGAUAAGUCAGGAGAAGGGACACAGCUGGGAAUCAAGGAGCCAGGGGGUAGAUCUAUUUCUGCUACUUAAAUAGCUGUGUUAUCUUGGGAGAGUCGCCUGCCAUGUUUGUGCCUCAGUUUCUUUAGCCCCAUCAUGGGGUUAAUAGUGCCUAUUUUACAAUAGUUCAGGGUUUCUAAACAGGAGCCUUAUGGACACUUUGGCUUGAAUGAUUCUUUGUUGUGGGGGCUGUGAAUUGUAGGGUGGUUAGCCCCCUCCUGGGCCUCUACCCACUAGAUGCUAGUAGCACCUCCCCAUUGUGACAACCUGAAGCAUCUACAGACAUUGCCAUGUGUCCCCUGGGGGGCAACAUCGCCCCCCAGCUGGGAGCCACUGCAUUAGCUCCUAGGAUUACUGGGAUACACAGAAUAACCACCGGUGUAAAUGCAGACCAUCCUGGUGCCACCAUCAGCAUCCGUUAGCAUUUUGGUCUUCUCUGCUCUGACCAUAAUUAUGCAGAAGCAGAAAGAAGAAACCGCGUAUUCUAAGCCAGGCCCCUGUGUGAUCCAGCAGGAAAUGUGGAGCAGCAAUGAGUUACCACUGGGCCAGCACCUGAUGGAAAGCAAAACUAAAACAAGGAAGAAUGCCCUGGCUCCAGGUGAAAAUCUCCAGGCGAAAAAUCACUGCACACCCCAACGCUGGCCUUAUCAUGUUAUGUUAAGGAAAAAACACAACUGUGGGAGCUCAGUUGUAGAAGCCUUCGUUCGUGCCAUGAGCGGCUCCUGAUCAAAAGCAGACCCUGCCCUGUGCUGCUUUUGUGCCUUCCUCCUGGGCCUCUCAGCUGGACCUCGGUUCGGUUCCCCACCUCGCGGCAUCCCUGCAGAAGAGGGCCUCCCGCAGCUGGAACCAACAUGAACCUUAGACCCUGCACCCCGGACCCUGCACCUGAGACCCUGGACCCUGCACCCUGGACCCUGCAUCUGAGACCCUGGACCCUGCACCCGAGACCCUGAGCCCUGCACCCAAGACCCUGCACCCUGGACCCUGCACCUGAGACCCUGGACCCUGCACCCGAGACCCUACACAAAGGACCCUGCACCUGAGACCCUGGACCCCAGACCCUGCACCCAAGACCCUGCACCCUAGACCCUACACCUGAGACCGUGAACCCUGCACCCGAGACCCUACACACGGGACCCUGGACCCAGCACCCGAGAUCCUACACCCGGGACCCUGCACCCAGGACCCUGCACUUCGCAAGAGCACAAAGGCUCCCAGGAGGGCCUCAAGGUGGGGAAAUGGCAUGUUGUCCAAGCAUGUUCUAUGUCCCAGAGACUUUACAAAUGUGACUUCACUGAAUUCUCACGGUGACCCUGGGAGAUACUUUUCCGUUGCUACAUUACGGGCUAGAAUGCCAGGGUUCAGAAGGUAGAGUGGCACACAGCUACUAAGGGAGAGUGGGAGCAUUUGAAUCCAGAUCUGUGAUGCUUCUCACCUCCAGACUGAUUUUUUUUUUUAACCAUUUGCGAGUGGGUCCCAGCUGUCUCUGUCCUGAUGUCCGUUAUGACCUAAGAUACCAGCCUGUUGACACACAGUUGGAUGACACACUUUACAAACAUACGUAAAUAUCACACUCAUGGGGUUUUUCUUCCCCUUCAUUAUCUGAUUCAGGUAGAGGUGGGUCGGACUUCUAAGAUGAGGUGUAGUAGCUUCCUUUUCUUUGGCUUGGAUUUUCCCCCAGUUCAAGAGUGGCUACCAUCACCAGCUACUGGAACCCUCGAUCAUCCACCUUCUAUGUCUCAUGCUUCAGGUGGACCUGGGCAGUGUAGCCUCCUCCCGGUUAUCAGCUGUGGCAUCAGCCCACAAGUGCCCUCCAACUGGGCCUAUCCUCUCCCGUAGGGAUGAUUCCAUUCCUUAUUCCUGGCGGAGGCACACACACCCCAUCCGCUAACUCACUACCCGUGCUUCACAACGAUGCCUCAGCAAAUCUCCCUCCCAGGUCUGGGAAUUAAUCUAUGAUUCAGCAAAGCAGAGAGAUGGGGGUGUGGGAGAGUUGUCACAAGCAUUCUGGCCUCGAGUAUACAGCAAGCACUCUAUCGUGCCUCAUUGGGAGCUGUCUCGUGGCUCUGUGUCUCUCUGCAGCGGCUGCUGCGUGAGCCUCACAUGUCCCGCAGGUGAGCUCUUCCAUGUGAGGAGGGGGAGAGGGGUAGUUGAUAGGGCAGCCAGACAACCUGGCUCCGUCCAUCACUUGUUACCUUGGGCAUGCAGUGGCUUCCCUGCUGUGUGUCACAGGGUCCCCCUCUGUGGAAUGGUGAUAAGAAUAGUACCUAUGUCCUGGAGUUGUGAGAAUUAAAUAAAUUAGCCCAUGUACAAUG